rnacentral:rRNA from 1 species
AUUGAACGCUGGCGGCAGGCCUAACACAUGCAAGUCGAGCGGAUGAAGGGAGCUUGCUCCUGGAUUCAGCGGCGGACGGGUGAGUAAUGCCUAGGAAUCUGCCUGGUAGUGGGGGAUAACGUCCGGAAACGGGCGCUAAUACCGCAUACGUCCUGAGGGAGAAAGUGGGGGAUCUUCGGACCUCACGCUAUCAGAUGAGCCUAGGUCGGAUUAGCUAGUUGGUGGGGUAAAGGCCUACCAAGGCGACGAUCCGUAACUGGUCUGAGAGGAUGAUCAGUCACACUGGAACUGAGACACGGUCCAGACUCCUGCGGGAGGCAGCAGUGGGGAAUAUUAGACAAUGGGCGAAAGCCUGAUCCAGCCAUGCCGCGUGUGUGAAGAAGGUCUUCGGAUUGUAAAGCACUUUAAGUUGGGAGGAAGGGCAGUAAGUUAAUACCUUGCUGUUUUGACGUUACCAACAGAAUAAGCACCGGCUAACUUCGUG